rnacentral:piRNA from 1 species
UUGGCUCCUCACGUAGGUAUAUUAUCCCC